rnacentral:rRNA from 1 species
UACGUAGGGGGCAAGCGUUGUCCGGAAUCAUUGGGCGUAAAGAGCGUGUAGGCGGCUCGGUAAGUCCGCUGUGAAAGUCCAGGGCUCAACCCUGGAAUGCCGGUGGAAACUGUCGAGCUAGAGUCCGGAAGAGGCGAGUGGAAUUCCUAGUGUAGAGGUGAAAUUCGUAGAUAUUAGGAAGAACACCGGUGGCGAAGGCGGGACUCUGGGCCGAUACUGACGCUGAGGAGCGAAAGCGUGGGGAGCAAACAGG